rnacentral:rRNA from 1 species
GAGUUUGAUCGUGGCUCAGGAUGAACGCGUGGCUGUGUGCCUAAUACAUGCAUGUCGAACGAAGCACUUGUGCUUAGUGGCAAAUGGGUGAGUAACACGUACUUAAUCUACCUUUGAGAUUGGAAUAACAUUUGGAAACAACUGCUAAUACCAAAUAUGUAAUCAUUUCGCAUGAAUUGAUUAUAAAAGAAGCGUUUGCUUCGCUUAAAGAUGAGAGUGCGUUACAUUAGAUAGUUGGUAAGGUAAUGGCUUACCAAGUCAAUGAUGUAUAGCGGGGUCGAGAGGCUGAACCGCCACACUGGGACUGAGAUACGGCCCAGACUCCUACGGGAGGCAGCAGUAGGGAAUAUUCCACAUGAACGAAAGUUUGAUGGAGCGACACAGUGUGCAGGAUGACGGUCUUAGGAUUGUAAACUGCUG